CUGAUUUGUAACACUCUGUUUCUUCGCCGCUUCCAUUUUUUCUGACC
rnacentral:sRNA from 1 species